rnacentral:rRNA from 1 species
AUGAAAGCUCAACAAAACAAACUAAGUGGGUGUGCAUCAACUUGCUUGCUUACGAGCGAGUUAGUAGCAGUAGGUGGCAAAGUGGCUUUGUUACCUAUUCCAUUAGGAACCGCAGAUUUUUUAGUCCAUCAUGCAUUUACCAUACAUGUGACUGUAUUAAUACUUUUGAAAGGUGUUUUAUUUGCUCAGAGUUCCUGUUUGAUACCCGAUAAAGCAAAUAUAGGUUUUCGCUUUCCUUGCGAUGGGCCUGGCCGAGGGGGAACAUGUAAAGUAUCCGCCUGGCACUUUUUUUGA